GAUGAACGCUGGCGGCGUGCCUAAUACAUGCAAGUCGAGCGAACGGACGAGAAGCUUGCGCCCUUGAUGUUAGCGGCGGACGGGUGAGUAACAAGUGGAUCACCAACUUAUAAGACUGGGAUAACUUCGGGAAAACGGAGACAAUACUGGCGAAUAUUUUGAACGGGAUGGAUCAAAAGUGAAUGACGGCCUUGCUGUCACUAAUAGAUGGAUCCGCGUUGCAUUAGCUAGUUGGUAAGGUAACGGCUUACCAAGGCAACGAUGCAUAGCCGACCUGAGAGGGUGAUCGGCCACACUGGAACUGAGACACGGUCCAGACUCCUACGGGAGGCAGCAGUGGGGAAUCUUGCACAAUGGGCGAAAGCCUGACGCAGCCACGCCGCGUGAGUGAUGAAGGUCUUCGGAUCGUAAAACUCUUUUAUUAGGGAAGAACAGAUGUGUAAGUAACUGUGGCCAUCUUGACGGUACCUAAUCAGAAAGCAACGGCUAACUACGUG
rnacentral:rRNA from 1 species